GUCUCGGUGGCGCAAUUGGUAAGCUUGCCCUUUCAGAAAUUCAUCCCAUCAUCCAGUCACUAAUUCAGCAUAACAGGUUAGCGCGUACGACUGUUAAUCGUGAGGUUGAGAGUUCGAUCCUCUCCCGGGACG